rnacentral:lncRNA from 1 species
AAAUGUUCGAAGAGAUGAACUUCCAAAUUUUUUGAGUGAUAAAAGCAAAUUAUGAAUUAAUCCAGAAUGAAGUAAUUCAUGACUAGUAAUAUUAGAUCCUUCUUGAAAUAUUUUGGCUAGUUCUGAAAAAGAUUCGUCUUGUUUGGUCUCACUUAAUAAAUGUUUAGACAAUUGUUUAAGUUGAACUAAUGUUGAGUUUUCUAAAUUUUCUUCCUUAUAAUUAGAGAGAAACUCCUUGGCAAGGCUCUUUAACGUCGAUAAAUUCUUCAACUCCUCAUGACGAGCAGCAGAUUUGUUUUGUGAAAAGGAAAUACUUAACUUUAUUUUCUUCAUGUCUGCAUUGGUAGAGCGAACUAAAAAUCCAACCUCCUGUACAACGCCUUCUCGUAUAAAUAACGAAGAAUAAACAUUAGGAAGUGCUUCAAGCAAAAAUAGACACAUUUCUAAAGCAUCUCGCUUCAAGAAAUUGUCAGAUUUGCGUGAAUUUAAAAUUGAAGCAAUGAAUGAUGAUAAAGGAAGAGAACAAACUAAGCCAUCUAAAUUAUUUUCCCUAAUUGAACAUAACAUUUUCAAUGCCGUAGUCACAGCUAACGAUCGGAUAUCAUGAAGGGGCACAAUAAAAUAAAUGUCCAUUACAACAGUUAAGAGUAUACUGUUUAAUCGAUAUAGUUUCGUGUUAAAUUCAUCAGACAAGUUACUAGUGUUUUUAGGAAGCAAAGAAGUUAUAGCUCUUAACAAGUUUUCUAUUAACUCGAUCGGACAAUAAUACAAACUUUGCAUUGUAAUCAUAUCAGCCUGAUGGGAUGUAUCAGAAGGUGGUAUUCCACACAGCAUUUCGUACAUCACAUCCGGCAAAUUAUGGUUAAGAAAAGGUAAAAUCAAAGCAGAAGAUGACUGACACAAAGAUGAUAUUAUAUGUAAUAGCUGCACUUGUAAGUGCAUUGACUUAUUUUGUGAGGUAGAAUUAGUCAAAGCAUUGACAAUAGUGGUGAUCAAAUCCUCGGAAAUUAUCGUUUCAAUUAUGUUUGGUGAAGUUUUCAAAGAUUCAAUAAUUGUCUCCAGGCAAGAAUAUGCCUUACUAACGACUAUGGUAUCAGAAGAUUGUAGAAUAUUAGAAAGCAAUGGAAUAAUUUCUUCUGCUGCGGAAGCAUUGGAUUCAUCCAAAAACUUACAGCAAUUAGCAGCCAGAGAAAUAGCUGUCCGUUGAACUGUAGUAUAAAAAAAAUCAAAGUAUUGGAGAGCAGCUAACAUUCCUCUGUGUUCCAAAAUACAAAUACCAAAAUCUUUAGAAAGCCGUUCUAAAACUCCUAAAGCUUGUUCAGCAAUAUCAAUGUAUUGCAUAUCAAACAUUCUUUCACACAGAAUGCGAACAAUAGGACUAUAUGCUAUUUUAGCCAUACAUAAAGGCAAAGCUUCCAUCAUAUUAGAUACACAGGUAGUACAGGAUAGCAUAAGUUGAAUAGAGACUUCUCCGAAAUCAUAAUUUCGCCCAGAUAAGAUUUCGGAAAAAGCCGCAAUGUAUGAAUCGGUUGAAAACAAUCCAACAAGCAUAUCUUCAGUACUCAUAGCAAACGCUUCGGAAAGUUCUUGAAGAGAAAGCAUUUGAACAGUAGGAUCACUAAAAUCCUUUAUUCCUUCUAACAAGCGUCCAAAUUGAACACCUGGAGCAGAAAAUGCAGAACGAAAAGGAUGAAAGGAACUAUUGAAACGGUAUGUCUGUGGACCUAAAGAAACAUCUUCGUCAUCAGAGUUCUCCAAAUUACCGGAAGAAAGUAUAGAAGACGCUAAACUUUGAAACUGAUUACCUCUUCUGAUUCUUCCCAGUUCAUUUAACAAGUUAGUUUCAUCGUAUUCUUCGAUUCCACUCAUGUUCAUGUUUUCUUGUUCAUUAAUAACAGCGGCUGAAGGAUUAGGUGAACCGUUUUCGCUUCUUAACUCGUCAUUUUCAUUUUCAUCUUCAUCGUCUCCCUCAUCAUUGUUUUCAUCAUCGUCUUCUUCCUCCUCUUCAUCAACAUCUUCAUCUCUUUCAUAACUUUCACUGCCACUACUGGAUUCAUCGUCUUUGUACUCGUUAUUAUUUAUAUCAUCAUCAGUUCCAUCAUUAGUAUCAUCAUAGACGUGGUCAUCUUGGUCAUUAUAUUGGGACGAAUCAGUAGAAGUAUGAUAGUUGCUGGAGUCAGAAUACGUAGUUUCAUAAGAGUUUGAA